rnacentral:rRNA from 1 species
CCUACGGGUGGCAGCAGUGAGGAAUAUUGGUCAAUGGGCGCGAGCCUGAACCAGCCAAGUAGCGUGAAGGAUGAAUGCCCUAAGGGUUGUAAACUUCUUUUAUCAGGGAAUAAAGUGAGGCACGUGUGCCUUGAUGUAUGUACUUUAUGAAUAAGGAUCGGCUAACUCCGUGCCAGCAGCCGCGGUAAUACGGAGGAUCCGAGCGUUAUCCGGAUUUAUUGGGGUUAAAGGGAGCGCAGAUGGGUUGUUAAGUCAGUGGUGAAAGUUUGCGGCUCAACCGUAAAAUUGCCAUUGAUACUGGCAGCCUUGAGUACAGUAGAGGUAGGCGGAAUUCGUGGUGUAGCGGUGAAAUGCUUAGAUAUCACGAAGAACUCCGAUUGCGAAGGCAGCUUGC